GAACGAACGCUGGCGGCAGGCCUCAUACAUGCAAGUCGAGCGAUUAAAGCUCCUUCGGGAGUGUAUAAAGCGGCGGACGGGUGAGUAACAGGUGGAUAAUCUGCCCUUCGGCGGGGGACAACGGUUGGAAACGACCGCUAAUACCGCGUACGAUUAUUAGGUGUUUUUGGCGCGUAAGGAAAGGCGCUUCACAGCGCCGCCAUGAGAUGAGCCCGCCCCCCAUUAGCUAGUUGGUGAGAUAACAGCUCACCAAGGCUUCGAUGGGUAGCCGAGCUGAGAGGUUGAUCGGCCACACUGGGACUGAGACACGGCCCAGACACCUACGGGUGGCAGCAGUAGGGAAUAUUGGACAAUGGGCGAAAGCCUGAUCCAGCCAUGCCGCGUGGAGGAUGAAGGCCUUCGGGUCGUAAACUCCUUUUCUGAGGGAAGAACAACCGGUGGAGGAAAUGCCAUUGGUCUGACGGUACCUCAGGAAUAAGCAACGGCUAACUCCGUGCCAGCAGCCGCGGUAAUACGGAGGUUGCAAGCGUUGUUCGGAAUUACUGGGCGUAAAGGGAGCGCAGGCGGCUUGAUCAGUCUGAAGUGAAAGUCCGAGGCUUAACCUCGGAAGUGCUUCGGAUACUGUCAAGCUUGAGUUCGUGAGAGGAGAGGGGAAUUCCAGGUGUAGCGGUGGAAUGCGUAGAUAUCUGGAGGAACACCCGUGGCGAAAGCGCCUCUCUGGCACGAUACUGACGCUGAGGCUCGAAAGCGUGGGGAGCGAACAGGAUUAGAUACCCUGGUAGUCCACGCCGUAAACGUUGUGAACUAGGUGUAGGAGGUGUUGACCCCUUCUGUGCCAAAGCUAACGCAUUAAGUUCACCGCCUGGGGAGUACGCUCGCAAGAGUGAAACUCAAAGGAAUUGACGGGGGCCCGCACAAGCGGUGGAGCAUGUGGUUUAAUUCGAGGCAACGCGAAGAACCUUACCCAGGCUUGACAUCCCGUGACCUCCCUAGAGAUAGAGCUUCUCUUCGGAGCAGAGAGACAGGUGGUGCAUGGUUGUCGUCAGCUCGUGUCGUGAGAUGUUGGGUUAAGUCCCGCAACGAGCGCAACCCCUAUUGCCAGUUGCCAUCAUUAUGGUGGGCACUCUAGGGAGACUGCCGGUGGUAAACCGGAGGAAGGUGGGGAUGACGUCAAGUCCUCAUGGCCCCUAUGUCCCGGGCUACACACGUAAUACAAUGGUAACGACAGAGGGCAGCUACCCCGCGAGGGCAAGCGAAUCCUAAAACGUUAUCUCAGUUCGGAUUGCAGGCUGCAACUCGCCUGCAUGAAGUCGGAAUUGCUAGUAAUGGCAGGUCAGCAUACUGCCGUGAAUACGUUCCCGGGCCU
rnacentral:rRNA from 1 species